UAGGGAAUCUUCGGCAAUGGGGGGAACCCUGACCGAGCAACGCCGCGUGAGUGAAGAAGGUUUUCGGAUCGUAAAGCUCUGUUGUUAAGGAAGAACGAGUGUGAGAAUGGAAAGUUCAUACUGUGACGGUACUUAACCAGAAAGGGACGGCUAACUACGUGCCAGCAGCCGCGGUAAUACGUAGGUCCCGAGCGUUGUCCGGAUUUAUUGGGCGUAAAGCGAGCGCAGGCGGUUAGAUAAGUCUGAAGUUAAAGGCAGUGGCUCAACCAUUGUAGGCUUUGGAAACUGUUUAACUUGAGUGCAGAAGGGGGGGGUGUAAUUCAUGUGUAGCGGUGAAAUGCGUAGAUAUAUGGAGGAACACCAGUGGCGAAGGCGACUCUCUGGUCUGUAACUGACGCUGGGGCUCGAAAGCGUGGGUAGCAAACAGG
rnacentral:rRNA from 1 species